GAAUAUUGCGCAAUGGGGGGAACCCUGCCGCAGCAACGCCGCGUGAGUGAAGAAGGUCUUCGGAUCGUAAAACUCUGUCAUAGGGGAAGAAGAGAUUACGGUACCCUAUGAGACAGCCACGGCUACCUACGUGCCAGCCGCCGCGGUAAUACGUAGGGGGCGAGCGUUGUUCGGAAUUACCGGGCGUAAAGGGUGCGUAGGCGGCCGCUUAAGUCAGAUGUGAAAUACCAUGGCUCAACCAUGGGGGUGCAUAUGAAACUGGUUGGCUUGAGUGCAGGAGAGGAAAGUGGAAUUCCUAGUGUAGCGGUGAAAUGCGUAGAGAUUAGGAGGAACACCAGUGGCGAAGGCGACUUUCUGGACUGUAACUGACGCUGAGGCACGAAAGCGUGGGGAGUAAACA
rnacentral:rRNA from 1 species